GCCGAACUCGACCACAGCCUCCCCAGGGUGAGCCUCAGCCCGUCGCCCUUUCUCCCCCUCUCCCCGACGCCGUUAGUCGCCGCCGAAACUCCGACCGUUGCCCGCAGCAACCGUCUCGCCUCUUCGCGCCCCGCGGUUGCUCCCGCCGUGCCCCGCGCCCGGCCGCCGCCGCCUCCGCCGUGCUGACCCACUACUGCUGCCGUACCACCCACCUGCGCGAGCCUCGCCAGCCGCGCCCAUGGCAUCGGCCAUGGCCGACGGCGCCCGGGUGCGCCUGUGUGUGUUGUGCGUGCGUGCAGUGUGUGUGUGGUGUGUGUGCAGUGUGUGUGUGUUGAGUGUGGCCGUGCCCACCUCCGGCCGCAUCCGCCUCUGGCCUCGCCCGCCUCCGGCUGCCGCUGCUCUCUGCUCCGCUAGCUGCUGCUGUGGUGCCGCAGCGCUGCUUGCUCUGCUGCUUGCCGUGCUGCUGCUGCUACACUAACUGUAUGUUACUGUAGUGCUAGCUAGCUUUAUGACUAUUACGCUGACUGGCCCUCUAAACAGCCUCAAAACAGCAGCUAAACAAGGCAUAACAUAGCUAAAAGAAAUAUGUGCGGGCAGUACACUUGACAGGGUUCAAUUCUUUCCAUUGGACCAAAUCCAAAAGUUGGCUGGAUUAAUUCCUAUGAAAAUGGCAAAAGUCUAUCUUCUGUUAACUGGAAGAACUAAAAACAAUUAUACUGCCAUUGCAACUUUGGAGAAGAAAAUAAGCAAGUUACAGGGAUCUAACUGAGAUGUAAUUGAAACCAUCUUGUAGACCGUAGGAAAGUGUUCAAUACUGGUAUAAGGCACCAAUUCAUAGGAUGAAUAGAACACUAGUUAUAGCCUCUAGAAAACAGCUAAAUGAUGUUUAAAACUGAGGACUUUAGAAAAUGCUUUGAACUUCAAAAAAAUCAUAGAAGAUAAACCGUAGCUCCAAUUUUGCUAAUUUAUAUAUGUUUAGGAUUAAGGAUCUGUCUUGGUAAUCAUUAAGGAAGAAAAUAUGCCGGCAACAUCCAAUAAGAGACUGGAUUUUCUACUCUCAGGUGUACUACACCCGAGUUAGCAAAAAAAAUGAAAAACGGUAUCAAACCAGAUCCAAAAAAAAUCUGAAAUUUGGCAACAUCAAACUUUAUCAUAUGUUCAAGCUUCUUGCAUAAUUUGAUUCAAAACUAACCUCGGAGGAGCUCUCACCAAAAAGAACAAAAUCACUCCUCAAUGUUUUGCAGCGAUUUUGUUCUUUUUAAUGAGAGCUCCUCGGAUGUUAGUUUUGGAUGAAAUUUUGCAAGAACCUUAAACAUAUAAUAUAGUUUGAUGUCACAAAAUUUUAGAUUUUUUGGACCUUGUUCCAUACUGUUUUUCCGGUUUUUUGCUAUCUCGGGUGUGGUACACUCGAGAGUAGCCACACCUUUCUCAUCCAAUAACGAGUUAAAAGUAAACUGCCAAGAUAAAAGCUCUAGAGCAACAGUUAAACAUGGGCAUCAUACCCCCGUAAGACCACGCAGGCUCACAACGAAACCCAAAAUGAUAGAGCUUUCCUAAGCCUCGUUCGACGACCUAGAAGUUUGAUAGACUUGACGUAGCUUGCUUGUCGCAUCUCCUCCUGCAGCUUCUUAUCUAGAAGUUGUUAAUUUCGAAGUCUAGUCUGUACACUUGGUCUUGUUAAUUACUCGAGACACGCUCGAAUGCUCUCGCCUACCAAGACCGAGACUAUCGUGAUUACCAAGGCGGGAUCUGUCGCCCAUCGCAUGCAUCACAUUGAUCUGACAUUGUUAAGUUCCUUUUCUCGAGAAUCUUGUCGUUCUACAUGUUGAUUAGUACUGUAAUACUGAAACCUUGUCUUAUCUGCUUGGAGUUUGAGACUCCGUGAAUCUUGCACAUACUCAUAACGUCUCUCUGUUUUUUUUUUUGAGGAACUCCGUGGAUCUUGCACAUACUCAUACCAAGAGGGUUUUUGUUUGAAAAAAAAAAUCCUACGUACGGGAAGGGUUUGCUAAACACGCAGCAAAUUAACAAAGCUGGAGCUGUCAGCCAUCACAUGUAGCACCUUAUCUAGAAGUUGUUAAUUGUGAAAUCUAGUCUGUACAUUUUGUCUUGCUAACUACUUGAGACCCACUCAAACGCUCUCGCCUACCCGAGACCGAGACUACAGUGGUUACCUAGGCGGAAUCGGUUGCCCGUCACGGCGUCACGUGCAUCACACUGAUCUGACAUUGUUAACUUUCUGUUCUCAAGAAUCUUAUUGUUGUACGUGUUAAUUAGUACUGUAAUACUGAAACUUUGUCUUGUCUUCUUGGAGUUUCAGAUUCCGUGAAUCUUGCCCACACUGAUAACAUCUCUCGUUGCCCCUCUCUUCAUUUCUGUGCAACCCCAACCAGCUGCUGGUAGGUGGAUCUAGUCUCAUCUUCUGGCGCCUCUCCUCUACUUGGAUGCUAAUUGCUAGCGGCAUCCUUUACCUAUCUUUCAGGUCAGUGCUCCAGCUUUUGUGGGAUAUAUACCUUCGGAAAGAUACCCCAUAUUCUUUUGAGUUCUAUCUUGUUGAUUUCAGAUGUGAUGCAAUAUUAGGUGUAAUAUGAUUUGUUGUUAUGUGCUCCCUCCAAAGUUAGUACAAGGUUGAGACACUUAUUUUAGGACGGAGGGAGUAUGAGUCAAAAC
rnacentral:lncRNA from 1 species